GCUAAGAGGCAAGCACCAAACAGGGACUAUUCCCCUGUGACUGGAACCCAGUUGAUGAGUCCCACGACAAAAACUGCAGCAGGUAAUUCCAGAGCAGGUGGGAAGAAAAUGAAUACCCCUCAAACAAAAGAGCCCAUGACAGAUGCUGAGAGGUCUAAGGUGAAAAAAUCAUUCAAGGACCUUAUGAAAUACAGACAACAGCUGGAAACAUUAGUGCCAGUAGAGGGCAGUGGUGAGCUGAGGAGUCUUCUGCUGAUGAGUCCUGCUGAUCUACAAACUGAACUCAAGAGACAUGAGAAUCUGUCUGCUAAAAUUGCUUCUUGUGCACAUAGAGCAGACACAAACAAGGGCCAUUUCCAAGGGUUGAAACAGACUGGGAGCUCUUCUGAAUUUCUGAAGGCAAUCUUAAGGUGUGUGUUUUUUUCCCCUCUACCUGGGUUGAUAUUGUACUCAUAG
ensembl:lncRNA